rnacentral:rRNA from 1 species
AUUUGGGAGCUUGCUCCCAAAUCUUAGCGGCGGACGGGUGAGUAACACGUGGGCAACCUGCCCUGCAGACUGGGAUAACUCCGGGAAACCGGAGCUAAUACCGGGUAAUACAUCGCACCGCAUGGUGCAAUGUUGAAAGUUGGCUUUCGAGCUAACACUGCAGGAUGGGCCCGCGGCGCAUUAGCUAGUUGGUAAGGUAAUGGCUUACCAAGGCGACGAUGCGUAGCCGACCUGAGAGGGUGAUCGGCCACACUGGGACUGAGACACGGCCCAGACUCCUACGGGAGGCAGCAGUAGGGAAUCUUCCGCAAUGGACGAAAGUCUGACGGAGCAACGCCGCGUGAGUGACGAAGGCCUUCGGGUCGUAAAGCUCUGUUGUUAGGGAAGAACAAGUACCGUUCGAAUAGGGCGGUACCUUGACGGUACCUAACCAGAAAGCCACGGCUAACUACGUGCCAGCAGCCGCGGUAAUACGUAGGUGGCAAGCGUUGUCCGGAAUUAUUGGGCGUAAAGCGCGCGCAGGCGGUCUUUUAAGUCUGAUGUGAAAGCCCACGGCUCAACCGUGGAGGGUCAUUGGAAACUGGAGGACUUGAGUGCAGAAGAGGAGAGUGGAAUUCCACGUGUAGCGGUGAAAUGCGUAGAUAUGUGGAGGAACACCAGUGGCGAAGGCGGCUCUCUGGUCUGUAACUGACGCUGAGGCGCGAAAGCGUGAGGAGCAAACAGGAUUAGAUACCCUGGUAGUCCACGCCGUAAACGAUGGAGUGCUAGGUGUU